rnacentral:rRNA from 1 species
UACGGAGGGAGCUAGCGUUGUUCGGAAUUACUGGGCGUAAAGCGCGCGUAGGCGGCUUUGUAAGUUAGAGGUGAAAGCCCGGGGCUCAACCCCGGAAUUGCCUUUAAGACUGCAUCGCUUGAAUCCGGGAGAGGUGAGUGGAAUUCCGAGUGUAGAGGUGAAAUUCGUAGAUAUUCGGAAGAACACCAGUGGCGAAGGCGGCUCACUGGACCGG